rnacentral:rRNA from 1 species
GUCCACGCCGUAAACGAUGGGUGCUAGGUGUCGCGGGCUUUGACCCUCGCGGUGCCGUAGCUAACGCGUUAAGCACCCCGCCUGGGGAGUACGGCCGCAAGGCUAAAACUCAAAGGAAUUGACGGGGGCCCCGCACAAGCGGUGGAGCAUGUGGUUUAAUUCGACGCAACGCGCAGAACCUUACCUGGGCUAGAAAUCACAGGAAGCUGGACGAAAGUUCGGGGUGCCCUUCGGGGAACCUGUGGUUAGGUGCUGCAUGGCUGUCGU